AAAUUGAAGAGUUUGAUCAUGGCUCAGAUUGAACGCUGGCGGCAGGCCUAACACAUGCAAGUCGAGCGGUAGCACAGAGAGCUUGCUCUCGGGUGACGAGCGGCGGACGGGUGAGUAAUGU
rnacentral:rRNA from 3 species